GAUGAACGCUGGCGGCGUGCCUAAUACAUGCAAGUCGAACGCUGAAGGAGGAGCUUGCUCUUCUGGAUGAGUUGCGAACGGGUGAGUAACGCGUAGGUAACCUGCCUGGUAGCGGGGGAUAACUAUUGGAAACGAUAGCUAAUACCGCAUGACAACAGUUAUUGCAUGAUAACUGUUUAAAAGGGGCAACUGCUCCACUACCAGAUGGACCUGCGUUGUAUUAGCUAGUUGGUGAGGUAACGGCUCACCAAGGCGACGAUACAUAGCCGACCUGAGAGGGGGGUCGGCCACACUGGGAGUGAGACACGGCACAGACGCCUACGGGAGGCAGCAGUAGGGAAUCGGCGGCAAUGGGCGGAAGUCUGACCGAGAUACGCCGCGGGAGUGAAGAAGGUUGUCGGAUCGUAAAGCUCUGUUGUAAGAGAAGAACGAGUGUGAGAGUGGAAAGUUCACACUGUGACGGUAUCUGAUCAGAAAGCGACGGCUAACUACGUG
rnacentral:rRNA from 1 species